rnacentral:rRNA from 1 species
GACGUAGGGCGCGAGCGUUGUCCGGAUUUAUUGGGCGUAAAGAGCUCGUAGGCGGCUUGUCGCGUCGAAUGUGAAAUCUCAGGGCUCAACUCUGACAUUGCAUUCGAUACGGGCAGGCUCGAGUUCGGUAGGGGAGACUGGAAUUCCUGGUGUAGCGGUGAAAUGCGCAGAUAUCAGGAGGAACACCGGUGGCGAAGGCGGGUCUCUGGGCAUUAACUGACGCUGAGGAGCGAAAGCAUGGGGAGCGAACAGG